rnacentral:rRNA from 1 species
UUAGUGGCGGACGGGUGAGUAACGCGUGGGUAACCUGCCUUGCGACUGGGGGAUAACACUUAGAAAUAGGUGCUAAUACCGCAUAAGCGCACGGUCCUGCAUGGGACAGUGUGAAAAACUCCGGUGGUGCAAGAUGGACCCGCGUCUGAUUAGCUGGUUGGCGGGGUAAAGGCCCACCAAGGCGACGAUCAGUAGCCGGCCUGAGAGGGUGGACGGCCACAUUGGGACUGAGACACGGCCCAAACUCCUACGGAAGGCAGCAG